rnacentral:rRNA from 1 species
UCGUGGUACGAGCUGUCUGGUUAAUUCCGAUAACGAACGAGACUCUAACCUGCUAAAUAGUACAGUUGCAAUUAUUAUACGGAUCUCUGUAUUGGUACUUUUGUGCCGAUACAGUCCCGUGUAAGCAGGUGAAACUUCUUAGAGGGACUGGCGCCAAAAAGGCGCACGAGAAAGAGCAAUAACA